GCUGGGCAUGGUGGCGCAUGCCUGUAAUCCCAGCUACUCGGGAGGCUGAGGCAGGAGAAUUGCCUGAGCCCAGGAGUUUGAGACCAGUCUGGGCAACAUAGUGAGACCCUGCCUCUA
ensembl:misc_RNA Metazoa_SRP Metazoan signal recognition particle RNA